UCUUUGAUUACCUGCCCUUUGUUAUCCCUCAGUAUAUUAGUUGGUUUUGUGUCAUUGUUUGUGGCUGGUUCCUGUUUGUCAUACCCUGUUCCCUACCAUGUCUAUGCUUCGUUUGGAAACUAUGCUACGUUUUUGCCUUGAGUAACCUGCAGAGUUCUUGUGUGUCCUGUGCCUGAGUAAGGCAGACGGAUACAAAGAGAAAAAGGGCCAGAAAAGGGAGGUUAUCCCAUUCCGCUGCGUGUCAGAUAUGAUCAGAGGCGGAUAUUUUGGAUGCAUCUGCCCUCAACUGGCUGAAGGACAGAGAUUAUACUGCAGAUAUUCAUACAGCGCUGGUAUAUCAUUAUAGAGUUAACAUAAAGAAAAUGUUUGAAAUAUUUUAUUAUGUUCUCUUUUAUGCGUUGAAAAAUAAUUCAAAAUUUGGCAUG